rnacentral:rRNA from 1 species
UACAGAGGGGGCAAGCGUUAUUCGGAAUUAUUGGGCGUAAAGGGCGCGUAGGCGGCCUGGCAAGUGGAAGGUGAAAUCCCUCGGCUUAACCGAGGAACUGCCCUCCAAACUGCUUGGCUUGAGACCGGGAGAGGUGAGUGGAAUUCCCAGUGUAGCGGUGAAAUGCGUAGAUAUUGGGAGGAACACCAGUGGCGAAGGCGGCUCACUGGACCGGUACUGACGCUGAGGCGCGAAAGCGUGGGGAGCAAGCGGG